CCAACCCAUUCCAUACAGAACCUCUCUCUCUCUCUCUCUCUCUCUUUCUUUUUGUUUAAAAGGGUUAGGGUCUCAGCCGCAAUAGCAACGCCAACUACCACAGCCUCCUGACUGUGAGCUACAAUAAUGGCGGCGCUAGUAGUUGAUGCAGAGUACCUCCAACAAAUUGAGAAUGGAAGAUUUCAAUGUGUCUACCAGAAUGGGUUUUCGACCAGUAGUUGAUGCAGAGUACCUCAAACACUCAAUCAUUGCUUGAAGGACGGUGUUUUCAACUUUGGUCAUGUAGAAAACGCUACAUUGUUUGUGGAUUUUAGGUUUAUAAAUAGAAAAAGGGGACUAUUAAUAUUUAUUUAUUGGAUGUUAACAAGAGAAUAAGCAAUCUGUGAUAGGAUUUAGCUCUGGGUUUUGGUGGAAUACCCAUCAAUAAACCCAAUAAAAUACGUUUUUUAGCUGUCA